AUUGACUACGACUCUGUCCAAAAGAUCUCCCUGGUCUUACAUGUACAGGACACGUAUAACGUUUCUGAGUCCGGCGAGCCUUCGUUCACUGCCGUGGUGACCAUCACGGUUAACGUGAAGGACGUUGACAACCGUCCACCGUGGUUCCAGCCCUGUGUCAGAACCAACCUGGGGAUAGCCAAACUGUGUGUCAGCUCUGGCUACAGGGCAAAGGUCAACCUCACAGAGAAAGAGGACGGUGCUCUAUCUCUGGAGCCUGGUCCGUUAUACGCCAAGGAUGGAGACAGAAACAGGAGUGAGCUGAUCAGCUACAGGAUAAUUAGAGG